GGCACGUUGGUCUAUCCCUGUCAAGAUUUCGGUCGCAGCUCACUGCGUGGUUUGUUCUCCCGGGAUGCAGAACGGACAACUCCGGACAAAGCAUGAAGGCCGAAGACGAACUAGAACUCCAUUGAAAAAGGAAACAGCUGCCACACAGAACCACUAACGGGCCCCUAAAGGCCGGAUUGCUGCGCACCUAAGAAGACGGCACAAGUCCGGAGGCAACCUGCCUCAAAACAAAAGCGAAAAUCAAGAUCAAACCGGACUAAGAAAAUCAGAGUACCUUUAAAUCCGACACUGAAGAAGGAGAAGGACAAUGACCUCUACGCAACCCUUUUUUCCUGCGUGACGAGCGGUGUGUCUCGUCUUCCCCUGUGUUCCCCUCUGGUUCUCUGGCUGCCUCUCUGGCUGCCUCUUGAAUCUCGACCUGCCCCAUGGACACGGACAUUUUGUCGCCUCUCUGUUGCCCUCACUUCCUGCUUGUCUCUCGGAUCUACGAGCCUGCCCCGCUCCUUUUGGACUUGCCUCUUGCUCAACACUCCGGUAACACUUAACAGCUAAUCUCCACACAUAGUCACACAACAUACACUUUUGGAUUAGUUCCCA